AGGAAUUUUCGGCAAUGGAGGAAACUCUGACCGAGCAACGCCGCGUGAACGAUGAAGUAUUUAGGUACGUAAAGUUCUUUUAUUAAAGAAGAAAAAAUGAUGGAAAAAUCAUUCUGACGGUAUUUAAUGAAUAAGCCCCGGCUAACUAUGUGCCAGCAGCUGCGGUAAUACAUGGGGGGCAAGCGUUAUCCGGAUUUAUUGGGCGUAAAGGGUGCGUAGGCGGUUAAAUAAGUCUAUGGUAUAAGUUCAACGCUUAACGUUGUGAUGCUAUAGAAACUGUUUGACUAGAGUUGGAUAGAGGCAAGUGGAAUUCCAKGUGUAGCGGUAAAAUGCGUAAAUAUAUGGAGGAACACCAGUAGCGAAGGCGGCUUGCUGGGUCUUAACUGACGCUGAGGCACGAAAGCGUGGGGAGCAAACAG
rnacentral:rRNA from 1 species